UGAGAGCAGGAUAUCCCUCAUCAGCCCAACACCUGUUUUGGUGGUCUCCCACCUUCAUCAAGAGCUUCACAAACAAAGUGUAUAGUGCUGUGCUUAUAAAUGGUGAACAAGAACUCCGGGCAUCCAAGCACCUCAUCACCCUCCAGUGGUGAGAAGAGGAAGAGAUUCCAGGGGCCCUUUCUGGCCAAAGAUAAGGAGCUUCCCUACUUAUAAAAACCUGUAGCUGACUGAGGAAGCCGCUGAUCGUAUGUGCAGGCGGAGAAAUGCAUUUUUUAAAGACCCUACAGCUCCUAUAACCUUUCUGUUAUCUGGGAACACCACUCGAUCGACUGCUGGGUAAUCCAUCUUGGACAUCCAGAUAAGGCUUGCUAUAAACGAUCAUUCAAGCACCAGAGCCGGGAGUUUAAAAGAUCCACAACCCAAGACGAAGGAGUGGUAAAUUAUGAAUGCUAACAUGGCCAUGUUAAACAAAUACUGCCUUGCAUGAAAAGCCUGACAUAUAGGCUAAAAACUGCUUUAGUUAUUGCUUUGCAUGAAUAAGCUUAUUAACACAAAUUAAAGCUGCUUCAGACGUCUGCAUGCUUACUUACCAACUAACUAAGCAGAAAAAUUCUGUACUGGGAGUACUAUCAGCUACAUAGGAACAUUGAAUUUCAUAAAAAGUAUGUUCAACUGUCUUGCAUGAUAAUAUCUAAUCAGGACAUUACUGCUUUGAAGCCUUUGUUUGUCGUUUAUUAAGGAACUGCAGACAGAGAAGAAUUUUUCUUUAUUAUCAGCUGCAUAGAAAUAAUUGAAUGCACUUUACUCUCUGCAAGGAGAGUUUAUGGGGCGGUUUUGUUAUUACUAUUAAGUUUUUAUCUGUGUCACUAAAAAUAUACUGAUUGUCAAUUGUGCUGUUUGAGACAUAAGUUACAAUUGUUUCAAUGCUGUGCGAAAGUUACAUUUAGAAACUCUAUACUGUGUCAGUGUUAAAUCGUUACAUGUUUACCAUGUUGAGCUAGUGGCAAAUUGCUACAGGUUUUUAUAAGUCUGGUUUAGGAGACA